rnacentral:misc_RNA from 1 species
CUCUCUGCGAUAUAUGCAUACAGAGCCAAAAGUUAGUAAACCUCUACUCAAACCUAAAACCAAUCUCUCCCCAUUAUAGAUCGCCACCCACAAGAAAUGCCUUCUAAUACUCCUAAAUCCUCACUCAUGCUCCAUCGGAUUAACAGCCCCGCAUCCAUCACCACCAACACAGCCGCCUGCCAGAAGCGGUGGUCCCCUCUAUCAUGCGCCACCCCGGUCCCAGAAACCGUCGCACGUUAUCACACCCAUGUCGUAGGCCCUCCGUCGAGGUACAGCAGAUCGCUGCCCCUGUCUCCACUGUGUGGUCCGUAGUCAGACGAUUCGAUAACCCUCAAGCUUACAAG